CAUGCUAAUAUUACAUUUUGACAUUUUUAAGCUAACAAUAACUUAGCGUUCUCGCUACUCACCAUGCUGUUAAACAGACUCUCCUUGACGUCAGGACUGAGCCACAGUUUAGUAUUUGUGAAACACAGUACAGUCCUGGAUCCACGGGAAACAGGCGGGGGUCCAGGAAGGUCUGUGCAGAGAGAAGAAAAUGGAAAACCAAGAAACACGAUGGCAGACAAACAGAUUCACAAGAGAGAGCUGGGACUACAUUAAUGGGGGUAAAUACAACAAUCCAGCAAAGAACAGCACUCCACCAAGGCCUUAAGUACUGGCAGGAACAAUCAUAGAUGAUGAGCAGCAGGUGAGUGAUGAGUGGGUGUGGAGAACAAGGCGGGAACUAGGAACCAGAUGCCACCAUGGUGGGGGGGAGUGAAGAGGGAGAGAUACAAACAGAACACCAGAGACUAGGGCUGUGUCCCAAUUCAGAGACCUGUAUAGGAAUUUCUUUUACUUGUGUAUUAAUCACAUUAUUUUAUUGUAUA